UCGGUCAGGGAUGGACUCGCGGCCUAUCAGCUUGUUGGUGAGGUAACGGCUCACCAAGGCGACGACGGGUAGCCGGCCUGAGAGGGCGACCGGCCACACUGGGACUGAGACACGGCCCAG
rnacentral:rRNA from 1 species